UCCGGCUUGUCGCCGGCGGUCCCUCUAGAGUGCCCAACUGAAUGAUGGCAACUAAAGGCGAGGGUUGCGCUCGUUGCGGGACUUAACCCAACAUCUCACGACACGAGCUGACGACAGCCAUGCAGCACCUGUCUCUGAGUCCCUUGCGGGAAAACUCCUAUUAAGGAGCGGUCUCAGGAUGUCAAACCCUGGUAAGGUGGGGAUGACGUUCGUCUGAC
rnacentral:misc_RNA from 1 species